AGUCAAGUCGAGCGGUAAGGCCCUUCGGGGUACACGAGCGGCGAACGGGUGAGUAACACGUGGGUGAUCUGCCUCGCACUUCGGGAUAAGCCUGGGAAACUGGGUCUAAUACCGGAUAUGACCUUUCAGUGCAUGCUGUUGGGUGGAAAGAUUUAUCGGUGCGAGAUGGGCCCGCGGCCUAUCAGCUUGUUGGCGGGGUAACGGCCCACCAAGGCGACGACGGGUAGCCGACCUGAGAGGGUGACCGGCCACACUGGGACUGAGACACGGCCCAGACUCCUACGGGAGGCAGCAGUGGGGAAUAUUGCACAAUGGGCGGAAGCCUGAUGCAGCGACGCCGCGUGAGGGAUGACGGCCUUCGGGUUGUAAACCUCUUUCGACAGGGACGAAGCGCAAGUGACGGUACCUGUAGAAGAAGCACCGGCCAACUACGUGCCAGCAGCCGCGGUAAUACGUAGGGUGCGAGCGUUGUCCGGAAUUACUGGGCGUAAAGAGCUUGUAGGCGGUUUGUCGCGUCGUCCGUGAAAACUUGGGGC
rnacentral:rRNA from 1 species